ACGCUGGCGGCGUGCCUAAUACAUGCAAGUCGAGCGCACAGACGAGGCGCUUGCUCCUCUGACGUUAGCGGCGGACGGGUGAGUAACACGUGGAUAACCUACCUAUAAGACUGGGAUAACUUCGGGAAACCGGAGCUAAUACCGGAUAAUAUAUUGAACCGCAUGGUUCAAUAGUGAAAGACGGUUUUGCUGUCACUUAUAGAUGGAUCCGCGCCGCAUUAGCUAGUUGGUAAGGUAACGGCUUACCAAGGCAACGAUGCGUAGCCGACCUGAGAGGGUGAUCGGCCACACUGGAACUGAGACACGGUCCAGACUCCUACGGGAGGCAGCAGUAGGGAAUCUUCCGCAAUGGGCGAAAGCCUGACGGAGCAACGCCGCGUGAGUGAUGAAGGUCUUCGGAUCGUAAAACUCUGUUAUUAGGGAAGAACAAAUGUGUAAGUAACUAUGCACGUCUUGACGGUACCUAAUCAGAAAGCCACGGCUAACUACGUG
rnacentral:rRNA from 1 species